rnacentral:snRNA from 1 species
GUGCUCACUUCAGCAGCACAUAUAUGAGAAUUGGAGGAUACAGAGAAGAUUAGCAUGGUCUCUGUGCAAGGAUGACAUGCAACUUCAUGAAGCAUUUCAUAUUUUU